GUAACGGAGGCGCCCAAAGGUUCCCUCAGCCUGGUUGGCAAUCAGGUGGUGAGUGUAAGUGCACAAGGGAGCUUGACUGUGAGACCGACGGGUCGAGCAGGGACGAAAGUCGGGACUAGUGAUCCGGCGGUGGCUUGUGGAAGCGCCGUCGCUCAACGGAUAAAAGGUACCCCGGGGAUAACAGGCUGAUCUUCCCCAAGAGUCCAUAUCGACGGGAUGGUUUGGCACCUCGAUGUCGGCUCGUCGCAUCCUGGGGCUGGAGUCGGUCCCAAGGGUUGGGCUGUUCGCCCAUUAAAGCGGUACGCGAGCUGGGUUUAGAACGUCGUGAGACAGUUCGGUCCCUAUCCGCUGCGCGCGCAGGAAUAUUGAGAAGGGCUGUCCCUAGUACGAGAGGACCGGGACGGACGAACCUCUGGUGUGCCAGUUGUUCUGCCAAGGGCAUGGCUGGUUGGCUACGUUCGGGAGGGAUAACCGCUGAAAGCAUCUAAGCGGGAAGCCUGCUUCGAGAUGAGUAUUCCCACCCACUUGAUGGGGUAAGGCUCCCAGUAGACGACUGGGUUGAUAGGCCAGAUAUGGAAGCCUGGUAACGGGUGGAGUUGACUGGUACUAAUAGGCCGAGGGCUUGUCCUCAGUUG
rnacentral:rRNA from 1 species